GACCAAUGAUGAUAAAUCUAAGGCUUGUUUCUCAAAACAUUCGCAGUGGCCGCCUAAGAACUUUCGCCUUUCGCCGGGCUUGAGAGUUAAUGCUGCUAUUUCCUUCCUUGGAUGUCUGAGGUCAAAUUAUUCUCUUGUGAUUUUGUUGAUGUAUGUGUUUACUACUACAAUUGAAACAGAGAAUGUAUUUUGAAUGAGUCAGGAGUUAAUCUAAUUGUUGUUUUGAUUGAUAUAAAAAAUUUGAUGUCAUUGAUUUGAUUCCCUUUUGAUUGCAUAAACAAUCUGUGAUUCACAAUUAUGAUCAACUUUGAUGACAUGUGUUUUACCAAGUCUAUAACUCAAUGAUGAUAAAUCUAAGGCUUGUUUCUCAAAACAUUCGCAGUGGCUGCCUAAUAGCUUUCGCCUUCGCCAGGCUUGAGAGCUAAUGCAGUUACUUUCCUUCCUUGGAUGUCUGAGGUU
rnacentral:lncRNA from 1 species